rnacentral:rRNA from 1 species
GAACGGUCUGGAAAGUCCGACGGUACAGGGUGAUAGUCCCGUACACCAAAAUGCACAGGCUGUGAACUCGAAGAGUAGGGCGGGACACGUGGUAUCCUGUCUGAAUAUGGGGGGACCAUCCUCCAAGGCUAAAUACUCCUGACUGACCGAUAGUGAACCAGUACCGUGAGGGAAAGGCGAAAAGAACCCCGGCGAGGGGAGUGAAAAAGAACCUGAAACCGUGUACGUACAAGCAGUGGGAGCACCUUCGGGUGUGACUGCGUACCUUUUGUAUAAUGGGUCAGCGACUUAUAUUCUGUAGCAAGGUUAACCGUAUAGGGGAGCCGCAGGGAAACCGAGUCUUAACUGGGCGUUAAGUUGCAGGGUAUAGACCCGAAACCCGGUGAUCUAGCCAUGGGCAGGUUGAAGGUUGGGUAACACUAACUGGAGGACCGAACCGACUAAUGUUGAAAAAUUAGCGGAUGACUUGUGGCUGGGGGUGAAAGGCCAAUCAAACCGGGAGAUAGCUGGUUCUCCCCGAAAGCUAUUUAGGUAGCGCCUCGUGAAUUC